GAUGAACGCUGGCGGCGUGCCUAAUACAUGCAAGUCGAGCGAACGGACUAGAAGCUUGCUUCUCUGAUGUUAGCGGCGGACGGGUGAGUAACACGUGGAUAACCUACCUAUAAGACUGGGAUAACUUCGGGAAACCGUAGCUAAUACCGGAUAAUAUUUUGAACCGCAUGGUUCAAAAGUGAAAGACGGUCUUGCUGUCACUUAUAGAUGGAUCCGCGCUGCAUUAGCUAGUUGGUAAGGUAACGGCUUACCAAGGCAACGAUGCAUAGCCGACCUGAGAGGGUGAUCGGCCACACUGGAACUGAGACACGGUCCAGACUCCUGCGGGAGGCAGCAGUAGGGAAUCUUCCGCAAUGGGCGAAAGCCUGACGGAGCAACGCCGCGUGAGUGAUGAAGGUCUUCGGAUCGUAAAACUCUGUUAUUAGGGAAGAACAUAUGUGUAAGUAACUGUGCACAUCUUGACGGUACCUAAUCAGAAAGCCACGGCUAACUACGUG
rnacentral:rRNA from 1 species